rnacentral:tRNA from 1 species
GAGGGUGUAGCUCAGUGGUAGAGCACAUGGUUAGUUUGCACCAGGUCCUAGGUUCAAUCCCCAGUACCCCCA